rnacentral:rRNA from 1 species
UACGAAGGGGGCUAGCGUUGCUCGGAAUUCCUGGGCGUAAAGGGCGCGUAGGCGGACAGUUAAGUUGGGGGUGAAAGCCCGGGGCUCAACCUCGGAAUUGCCUUCAAUACUGGCUGUCUUGAGUGUGAGAGAGGUGUGUGGAACUCCGAGUGUAGAGGUGAAAUUCGUAGAUAUUCGGAAGAACACCAGUGGCGAAGGCGACACACUGGCUCACUACUGACGCUGAGGCGCGAAAGCUAGGGUAGCAAACGGG